UGAAGGUGAAGGUGAUACUUCUUCUUCUGAUUAAUGGUUCCUAACUGUGUUGAAGACUGGUAAGGUGAAGUCUGUGAGGAGUGCUGGAAAGAGUGAUGGAAGCUGGUCUGCUGUUUGGAAGGCUGAUGUUUUUACUGUUUUUUUGAAAAAUGUAAUGUGUGGCAGUCCUCAUUGAUGCCUGUUUUGUAAUAUUUAGGGCUCUUAAAGAGUUCCUUGGAUUUGUUCAUUAUCUCAGCUAUCACAGUUGUGU
rnacentral:lncRNA from 1 species